rnacentral:rRNA from 1 species
GAACGAGACCUCAUUCAUAUGUUCUGCAUGUACAAUAUUAUAUUGUAUCAUGUGUAUGCAUAUGAGACUAGUAUAGUUGUAUAUACUGGAAGAUGGAGGCAAUAACAGGUCUGUGAUGCCCUUUGAUGUUCUGGGCUGCACGCGCGCUACACUGAUUAGAGAAAUAAGUAUACAAAUGACCUGAACAGUAAUGUUUGGGAAAUCUCUUAAUUCUAAUCGUGAUGGGGAUAGAGCAUUGCAAUUAUUGCUCUUGAACGAGGAAUUCCUAGUAAGCGCAAGUCAUUAGCUUGCGUUGAUUACGUCCCUGCCCUUUGUACACACCGCCCGUCGCUACUACCGAUUGAAUGGCUA